rnacentral:rRNA from 1 species
AACGAACGCUGGCGGCAUGCCUAACACAUGCAAGUCGAACGAGACCUUCGGGUCUAGUGGCGCACGGGUGCGUAACGCGUGGGAACCUGCCCUUAGGUUCGGAAUAACUCCCCGAAAGGGGUGCUAAUACCGGAUAAUGUCUUCGGACCAAAGAUUUAUCCCCUUUGGAUGGGCCCGCGUUGGAUUAGCUAGUUGGUAGGGUAAAAGCCUACCAAGGCGACGAUCCAUAGCUUGUCUGAGAGGAUGAUCAGCCACACUGGGACUGAGACACGGCCCAGACUCCUACGGGAGGCAGCAGUGGGGAAUAUUGGACAAUGGGCGAAAGCCUGAUCCAGCAAUGCCGCGUGAGUGAUGAAGGCCUUAGGGUUGUAAAGCUCUUUUACCCGGGAUGAUAAUGACAGUACCGGGAGAAUAAGCUCCGGCUAACUCCGUG